CCGCCCCGCCCCCGACCGGGCACCGUCUCCGCCACCACCGGUGCCUCCCGCCCGCCCGCCCCGGCCCGCUUACCCUGUCCUCCCUUCAGCGCGGGGAGGGCCGCUGGCGCAGGAGUCCCCGAAAACCUGAGGCCGUUGGGUUGCAGCAGCCGUGGUUUCCUUCGGCGAGGACGGAGAUCCAAAUGCACAAGGUCCCUACCGUUCGGGACGCGUUUUGGCAAAGGGACAAAAAUAAACUGCCUUCAGCUUUAAUGUGUAACGCUGGGAGUUCUUACACGAUAUUUCGGUACAAACCAGUUCUGUAAGCUGCACUCAUUGUAAUCCACACAGAAAAAGGCAGGAUUUUUGCUUAGCCGACGAGUUUCCUAGUCCAUGCCAGAUUUCAUCUGGACUGAUGGCAGCCGCCUCUGCUGCGCAUCAGAACUGGCUGCAUUGUACUUCCAGUCCUGCGUUCACCAACGGAGGUUGAAUUAUUUUCCAGUCUAGUGCAAGUGCAUACGCUAGGGUUUGUGAUUUCACAGUCAAGAGUGUUUGGUUGUUUUUAUCAGCUGCCAUAACAAGUGCCGGUGCCAGUAUAGUCUGAAGCAGGAGGUUUUUCCAGAUAGCUCAUGUACCUUCAAGACCGGAUGGGCAAGUUCACAGCAGAGAAAUCCAUUAGGGGUUAUUAUGCACAUAGAAACUACCUCGGGCUCUGGGGGGGCUCCCUAACUAGAUCCUGGGAGAUACUUUUACUAGUCAGGCCACUGUCAGACACAAUGUAAGAUGACACCUCUGCCUGACUCUCUGCACUCAGUUAUUUGUAAUUUAUUAUUAAAAUGUUAUUUUUAAGCUCAAAUAUAAAAUUGUUUAUAAUUGAAAUUAUCUUGACUUUGAAGCUCAGUUAUAAAAUUAUGAAUGCGUAGUUGUCUGUAGUCUGACCGUGUCUUUUUACAGAGGUAAAAUACUCUUUCCGCAGUUUUUGAGAUAGGACUCAACUAUCUUAGAAGGCAAUACCUUAGAGUACUUAUUAACGAACUGAAUUGGAAGACACACUCUAAGACCAUUUUUUAGUACAAGGCUCUGGAAUUAUGUAUGCAUAAUCUAUAGAAUUUCCUGUUACACACUAUUCCAAACACAACACACCCAGCCUCUUGUCAAAUCUGAACCUUUCAGCAAUGCUUACAGCUUUUAAUGCUUAAAACAACAUUUUCACAAAAAAUAGAAUUAGCUUUAGUGUGACUUUGUUUGUUGAAAUAACAAUGUGAUGCCAACAUAUUUGUUACCUAGUGUAAACCAGUGAUUGUUACCCUAUUUCUUGUUUUCCCUUGACACAUUUUUAAAUAAGCAUUACUUUUACAAUCAAAUAAUUCUGGCUAACUUUGGUGUCAAUUACCCUAUAUUUAAUGCAUUAUUUCUUUAACCCAUUUGAGUUGUGUGCUCACUGUAAGAUUCUACAGUAAGAUUUUUCAGUGCAUUGCGUGGAAUAAAUACAGUAUUCAGCUGCUGGUA